rnacentral:lncRNA from 13 species
AUGCAGUGUUUUGUUUUUUUACGUGUUAUUUCUUACAUUAGUACACCAGGUCAUCUUAGGUUUCAUUACAUACAGUCGAGAAGAACUACUGAAUAUAAGAUCAGCGUCAACUCACCAUCAGUACGACCAACAAUAUGUUGUGUUCUGUUGUGUCCUGUGUUCUGCCUUUCACCCAGGACAAUGGAAUGGAUCCCAUGCAGCGACCCAAAAAAACGACUCCGAAAAAGAGGGAAACGAGGCGGUCUUCUGGUCAGACUCCGGAGACGGGCACAUCGUGCACCACUCCCUAGCAUUCUUCUCGCCAAUGUCCAGUCUCUUGACAACAAGGUUGAUGAAAUCCGAGCAAGGGUAGCAUUCCAUAGGGACAUCAGAGACUGUAUAUAUCCCGUAUAUAUUCCCCCCCAAGCAGACACAUCGAUGGCUCUGAACAAACUUUAUUUGACUCUUUGCAAACUGGAAUCCAUUUAUCCGGAGGCUGCAUUCAUUGUAGCUGGGGAUUUUAACAAAGCUAAUCUGAAAACAAGACUCCCUAAAUUGUAUCAGCAUAUCGAUUGCGCAACCAGGGGUGGAAAAACCUUGGAUCAUUGUUACUCUAACUUCCGCGACGCAUAUAAGGCCCUGCCCCGCCCUCCUUUCGGAAAAGCUGACCACGACUCCAUUUUGUUGAUCCCUGCCUACAGACAGAAACUAAAACAAGAGGCUCCCACGCUGAGGUCUGUCCAACGCUGGUCCGACCAAGCUGACUCCACACUCCAAGACUGCUUCCAUCACGUGGACUGGGACAUGUUUCGUAUUGCGUCAGAUAACAAUAUUGACGAAUACGCUGAUUCGGUGUGCGAGUUCAUUAGAACAUGCGUUGAAGAUGUCGUUCCCAUAGCAACGAUUAAAACAUUCCCUAACCAGAAACCGUGGAUUGAUGGCAGCAUUCGCGUGAAACUGAAAGCGCGAACCACUGCUUUUAAUCAGGGCAAGGUGACUGGUAACAUGACNNNNNNNNNNCUGCACAACGCAUCACCGGGGGCAAACUACCUGCCCUCCAGGACACCUACACCACCCGAUGUUACAGGAAGGCCAUAA